CCGAGUUUACAACUCCCAAACCCAAUGUGAACGUUACCAAACUGUUGCCUCGGCGGGGUCACGCCCCGGGUGCGUCGCAGCCCCGGAACCAGGCGCCCGCCGGAGGAACCAACCAAACUCUUUCUGUAGUCCCCUCGCGGACGUAUUUCUUACAGCUCUGAGCAAAAAUUCAAAAUGAAUCAAAACUUUCAACAACGGAUCUCUUGGUUCUGGCAUCGAUGAAGAACGCAGCGAAAUGCGAUAAGUAAUGUGAAUUGCAGAAUUCAGUGAAUCAUCGAAUCUUUGAACGCACAUUGCGCCCGCCAGUAUUCUGGCGGGCAUGCCUGUCCGAGCGUCAUUUCAACCCUCGAACCCCUCCGGGGGAUCGGCGUUGGGGAUCGGGACCCCUCACACGGGUGCCGGCCCCGAAAUACAGUGGCGGUCUCGCCGCAGCCUCUCCUGCGCAGUAGUUUGCACAACUCGCACCGGGAGCGCGGCGCGUCCACGUCCGUAAAACACCCAACUUUCUGAAAUGUUGACCUCGGAUCAGGUAGGAAUACCCGCUGAACUUAAGCAUAUCAAUAAGCGGAGGAA
rnacentral:rRNA from 1 species